rnacentral:rRNA from 1 species
AACGAACGCUGGCGGCAGGCUUAACACAUGCCAGUCGAACGCCCCGCCAGGGGAGUGGCCGACGGGUGAGUAACGCGUGGGAAUCUACCCAUCCCUACGGAAUAACGCAUGGAAACGUGUGCUAAUACCGUAUACGCCCUACGGGGGAAAGAUUUAUCGGGGAUGGAUGAGCCCGCGUUGGAUUAGCUAGUUGGUGGGGUAAAGGCCUACCAAGGCGACGAUCCAUAGCUGGUCUGAAAGGAUGAUCAGCCACAUUGGGACUGAGACACGGCCCAAACUCCUACGGGAGGCAGCAGUGGGGAAUAUUGGACAAUGGGCGCAAGCCUGAUCCAGCCAUGCCGCGUGAGUGAUGAAGGCCUUAGGGUUGUAAAGCUCUUUCACCGGAGAAGAUAAUGACGGUAUCCGGAGAAGAAGCCCCGGCUAACUUCGUG